rnacentral:rRNA from 1 species
AACAGGGAUUGCCUCAGUAACGGCGAGUGAAGCGGCAAAAGCUCAAAUUUGAAACCUUCGGGAUUGUAAUUUGAAGGCCGGCCCUAGUGUGGCCCUAUACUUGUAAGUCCAUUGGAAUAUGGCGCCAGGGAGGGUGACAGCCCCGUCCACCAAGUUCAUUUAGGGCCACAAAUCGGACCGCGCCAAAGAGUCGAGUUGUUUGGGAAUGCAGCUCUAAGUGGGUGGUAAAUUCCAUCUAAAGCUAAAUACAGGCGAGAGACCGAUAGCGAACAAGUACAGUGAUGGAAAGAUGAAAAGCACUUUGAAAAGAGAGUGAAACAGUACGUGAAAUUGUUGAAAGGGAAGGGCUUGCACCCAUUUACUGCCAGCAUCAAUUGGAAAAGAGUGAAAACAGGGCCGGGAAUGUGGCUUUCGAGUGUUAUAGCCCGAGCCCCCUCGCAACUCUUUGUCCGAUUGAGGCCCGCUUUUAUUAGAGGAUGCUGGUUUGAGUGCAAGUCGCCCGUCUUGAAACAA